rnacentral:lncRNA from 1 species
CAAAGGACAAGGAAAAGUAAUUCACAAGAAAAUAACCAAUACUCAAAGAAUAAAAUGUAUGUAUUUGCUAAUAAUCAAAGUAUAUUGCAAGAGCAAUGAAAUGCCAUAUAUUUAAAGUAUAACUGAUCAGAGAUGAAAGACGAAUGCCGCUGGAGGUGGCGGGACUGCAGGGACGUGGAUUUCCUCCCGCUGCUGCUGAAGUUGAGCUGUUUCCGGCCUUUUGGAGAGUGUUGGCAGCAUGGGUCUAAUGUCCUAGAUCUUUGCAUGUUUUUUGACCUAAUAAUUCCUCUUCAAGGAAUUUAUCCAAUAUGGAGGCCAUUGUGAGCAAAAAGACAGCUUCAAGGACCUGCACGGCGGUGCUGUGGAUAAGUGAGCAUGCUUGCGCACGCUCAGAUGCUCACUAACAGAGGCAGGAGUGCUGAACACGUCCCGCAGCAUCCAGUCAGCGGGACGCUGUGCAAUGUCUUCAGACGAAUGACAAAAGCGUGCAGCAGCAAUCCAGGAAGUGCCAGUAGGGGAUGAAGGAACACGGGGAGCAGCUGCGCGCGAAGCCGCCACUCAGCGGCAGAGGCCUCGGGACCACGCGAGUAGAGCCGGACGCUGCAGAAUCCCUUCUCCAGCCCCAACCGCACGCCUCUUGUGCUCUGCACCCCCUUUCCUCCUGAGAGCCUCCCAAGACGUGGAGAGAGGAGAAGGGAACAGACAGAGCAGCAGGACGGAGGCAGCAAGACUCCGAAUGUACCCGGGUGGGAACCGCCGUCCCGCGCACGUGGCCUGAAGCCGAUUUCUGCAGCCAGCGGAAGAGCCCCUCUGAGGACACUCCCCAAACCCUGUCUCCUCACCUGCCGUGCAGCCACUUGUUUAAGAGAAGACUUGUUUAAGCCACUUGUUGAAGUGAAAUAUUCACUUAAGUGGAUAUUUGUGGGGUGCCCACCAAGUGCUGGGCACUGCUCUGAGCAUCAUCCUGGAUGGAAGCAGGGGCGGGAGGGCCCAGGCCUCCUCCAAAGAACAGGAUGCCCCGG